rnacentral:lncRNA from 1 species
UAGGGAAUUCGGGCUGUGUUUAGCUGCUGGGAUAUCGUAGAAUUGGUUUUCAGAGAAGUUCCUCGACUCCUGAGGCGAAACAUAAAGGGAUGGGAGUGGUGUGGGAAGUGAUCGUGUGGGGAAAAAAAAGUUUCGAGGCCGUUUCGCAUUUGUGGAGACACAGUUUUUGGUGUGACCACUCUUUUGUGGGAAACCCAAACCAAGGAGAACUCAGGAGAAUUGGCGCUCUUCGGUCCUGGAGGUUCCGCAGCUAACAUCCCGGCUUGACCAACUAUCGAGGCCGCAAAUUAAUAGGGCACCUCCUGGGAGGAAAACGCCCAUCCUGACUUCUCAACUGUGACAGUUUGAUCUGUCGCCCAGGAUGGAGUGCAGUGCAGUGGCGCGAUCCUGC